rnacentral:rRNA from 1 species
UACGUAGGGGGCAAGCGUUGUCCGGAAUCAUUGGGCGUAAAGCGCGUGUAGGCGGUCCGGUAAGUCCGCUGUGAAAGUCCAGGGCUCAACCCUGGGAUGCCGGUGGAUACUGUCGGGCUAGAGUACGGAAGAGGCGAGUGGAAAUCCCGGUGUAGCGGUGAAAUGCGCAGAUAUCGGGAGGAACACCAAUUGCGAAGGCAGCUCGCUGGGACGUUACUGACGCUGAGACGCGAAAGCGUGGGGAGCAAACAGG